rnacentral:sRNA from 1 species
UAAAAAAUAUUUAAGGGCAUUUCCGUUUUUUGUUAUCGCAAUAAAAACAAAAGAUAUUUUCAAGGUUACCGAUAAUAUAUUACCAUUUCUAAAUGUCUUGCUCUCCCGUUAUAUUUAUUUAUGGACGAACGGAAAGAUGUUGGUCGAUUAUAUUAGGCGGGGUUAUUGUCCCGAGGGUCGAAAGGCGAUUGAGGAUAUUCUUUUAUAAAUUCGUUCUGUUUUUCUCUAUUUUUUAUUUUAAGUUAAAUAUGUCCAAAAAAAAACCUCGCAUUGUAACCUUCCAGACUUGGUAUAUGGAUAUUAACUUUUCGGGGUGCGUUUUAUAACGGGCUAGUUCCUAUUAACUUUCCUUUUUAAAAAAAUAGCUAGGGGUAACAUUCCAAUACCCAAUUAUAAUAUAUUUAUAUCGAUUUGCACCCUAUAGGGCUACUAAUUUUAACUGCUUUACAAAUAUGGGGCUGUAUUUGGCCUGGUUUUAAUUUAUUGCUGCAAAAUUAAAUAAAAAAUAAAAUGUAAAAGAGUGGCCUGGUUUUAAAACAUCCUGCCUCUUUUUUAAUAUUUUAAAUUCUAAAUUUUCUGCUUUUUCCCAAUUACCAUUUUACCAAUUAGGUUUGCAAAUUCCGCAAGGAUUUUGGAAAAAUUGGCUAUGCGGGUAAAUAAUCGUUUUUAACCACCUUUUGCAUUGCUGUUCGUCCAAACCUCCAAUAUUCCCAUGCGCCAUUAUCGAUAUAUUUGGAAAACUUCUUAUCUGCAGAAAUUACCCGACCAAAACCAGGCGCUGGAUCCAGUAUUGGGGAUUUGCAAAAUCGGCAGGUGUUAAUUUAAAAAAUAAAAUGCGGUUUCUAUAUGUUUCAAUUACGUAUUAAAUAGCAAUGGUAAUAUUAGGAAAAGGCGUAAUUAAAUAAUUACCUUAUUAAAGGAGGUUGCUAAUAAUGCUAAUUCCAAUGUAAGUUAUUCGGAAAAAUUUUAGGGUUUCGGAACUCCAAAUUACCCGGGCAGGUAACAUCUUCCUAAGUCGCGAAAGAGUUAGCCUGGAGGGGGCAGAAGAAAAUUGGAAAAAAGCUGGGGCGCAACACGGGAAGGCCUUUUGAAAUGCCCGAUUACGUCCAAAUUUAUAAUACCUGUACAUAUUUGGAAACGGUUAGGGCAGGGAAUCUUAUAAGAUGUAAACCCAUUUAAAAAUACCCCAGUUAAAUGCCGGAAUGUUACGCCGAAAUUAUUCUAAAAAUUCCGUAAAGGUAAAAGCCAAUCGGAACGAGCCCGUUACAAAACGCACCCCUGACGGCCAAUAUUAAUUUUACUACCAAUUUUUCGUCAUAUUUGUUUAAACCUCCCUGCUCAAAACCAAAUGGUUCAAAUGUUUCGCAAACAGUGGCCUGUUGGGGGUAGGAGAUUACGGCGGCGAACCCUGGUCCUUAAAAAUAUCCCUGCAAUUUGUAAAUAAAAUGCCCAGAUAUUGCAACUCCUUUUAUUAUUAAUAACUCCCUAUUUUAAAUUCUUGUAGCAGGUAUAAUUUAUUACGGAGGCCUCCUAAUGGGUGCAUUUGCGGUUAUAGGCGGAUUUUUUCGUAUAUUAGUAUGGUCGUAUUGCUAAAAUUAGCGGGAUAAUUGUACCUAUUUGGGGAUAUUCGCUUAUUUUUGCCCAUUAACCCGGCCCUAUAUUAAAAAAAUUUCGGAACGCGGGUAAUUAAACAUAUAUUGGUUAAUUAAAUAAUUAACGCCGAAAGGAUGGAGGUAAGGAGCGCCUUGGGGCUCGUUGCAGUUUCGUUAUCGCUUAUUUUAAUCCAAUAAUUUUUUGGGGUUUUGCAUCUUUUCGCACAUUGCUUUUUACACCUUUUUCGGUAGUUGGUAAUAUUUUAAAUAUUAGGCAAAAUUUGAACGCCGAUACGUAUUUAAUAAUUAAUAAACUGUUUAGGGAACAAUUAAAAAUAUAAAUUUGUUUUGGUUUAUUUGGUAAUAGGCACGACGGGCAAUUUUCUCGAAUUUGUUUUAAAUAUUACCAGGUUUGAAAUUUAUCAAAUGUCGUUGGUAUUUUCUGCUCGUUAUCUUUUGUUUUGGCCACCAAAACUACCUUAUUUAUUUUGGCAAAUUAAGUUAGCCAAUCACCGUUUUAAAUGGAUAGAAUAUUAUCCUAGUAGCAAAUCCUCCAAACCUUAUUUGGAAACCUCUCUUAAAACGAUAAUAACGAAAAUGGACCCAUUAAAUUAUAUAUUACGCCUCGAAAAGGCCAAAUAAAUAUAUAAAAACCACGUUGCAGGUCGACGAACUUCCAUUAACUGGAUUGCAUCCGAAAUUCCCGCCGGUGUAUUAUGGGUGGCUAAGGCGAAAAUCGAACGAUAUAUGCAGUGGCCUGCUCGCCUUUCCGCGGCCGGUUUUCCUCCCAAUAAACUUUAUAUAAGGCAUGCAUUACGGGCGAAUAACUGGGGCGCCUAACUAAUAGCGACUUAAAAUAUAUAAUAUAACGUUGCAAUUGAGAGAAAAACUUUUUAAAUGUUUUAAAAUGCACGAGCUAAAAUAUAAAAAUUAACUUUGAAAGUUCGCGUUAAAGCAGGAUUAAAAUAGGUUAUAAUAAUGGGUGCAAAAUACAAAAUAGGUUGUAGUUAAAUCGUUUUAUUGUUAAAAACUGUUCCAAACCAAAAACCCCUAAUUUUAUUUGCAAUGCUUUUAAUUCCCUCCAACUCCUCUUUAUUAAGGACAAUUCCAAAAUAUAACCGAAUAGCUUUAACACGUUCCGUUUCGGUGCGGAAUUCAAGGUUUAAUUUCAAAUUCCCUUCCCUCCGCCAUUUUAACCUAUUUUAAUAUAAUAUAAUAAAACCGUCCAGCUCGCCAUCCAUAAUAUCUUUUAUAUUCGUUUUCCCAGGUGCAAUUAGGGGCUUAUUUGAUAUUGUAAAUCGCUGAAGCAACAAUUUACGUAAUGCGAAAUAUAUGCGGUUUAUACCAUACGUGUUUAGGAUUUCGAUAUCCUCGGGCAGCAAUUUAAAAUCCGAAUUGAAACAGCAUAUUGGCUGCCACUUCUUACCAGGGCCACGUCGGAAUUAAUAUACCCAUAACCGCCUAAUUUAAUCGACCUGCUGUACAAUCGCCUGUUUUAUUAUUCGCAUUUCCGUUUAAGGUUUUAUAUAUUAAAGACCGUUCGGUUUAAUACCUCCCGUUCCUUCGAACAAUGGUACAGGUUUGGGUGGACCGUAUCCACCAAAGCCCAUAUCGAGCAAAUAAUAUACGCCACCGAUUUUAACAAUAUUGACACAAUGCACAAAUCCGCCGAAUUUGCCGUUGCAGGGCUUAAAGACUCGCGAACCUGCCAAAAUAACGUCGAAUCCCAGCGAUAAAAGGACCGUAUUAAACAAUUGGUUCGUUUCAAAACACCAACCACCGCGGCGGUGGCGGAUAAUCUUCUUAUAAAAACGCGUCGGCGAAAUACCGAACCCUUUAUACCAAAAAUAAUAAACCUGAAAAUUCUUAUAAAACACGUUAACAAAAUGGUGCUUUUUAAAAAAGGUAAGGUAGGCUAAUUGUUAAACAAAUGUAAAUUUGCUGACGGAAAAGAUUCGCUGUGUAGGAGAAAGGUAAACUUGAUUGAAAUAUUUAAUUAUUUCCAAAUUGGCGUAUUUUGGCCGUUUAUAUUGCUAAAUUUGAACUGUGCUAAUAAAGCGAGCCGAUAAUAAUUGGCGCGACAGGCCUCGGAAACAAACUGACAUUUUAGGGAUAAUUAUUAUUAUAAUUUGCUUGUUACAAAGGGAUUUAAUAUAAAGAUUUUUUUUUUCAUUUUAAAAUCUUCGGAAAAACUGAAAUUGGUACAGUUAAUUAAAAUAUAUAACUGCGGAAUUAGUAGCUUUUAUAUUAUUUCGACUGUUUGCGUUAAAAUAUUCUUUAUAGGCAAAAAGGUUCAAAACACUUAAACCGCCAUACGCUCCGUAGGGCAGAUGAAAGAAUUUAAUAAUCCUUUAAACCCUUAAUAUAUUGCGCGGAACGUAUACGCGUUCAGCACUAUAUGGGAUUUACAGCCCCAGGAUUUUACCGUUAGCGGAAUGUUGGGGCGUUACAUUGCAACCUCUCCAUAUGCUACGCAUAUUGACGAUUAAAUGCAAAUUUUUGUUUAUAUAUAACCAGAAUAGGGACAAGAUGUUGGUAAUAUAAUAUAAAUAACUGUAGCGAAUAAUAUUGUAAAAUUACAACCCUGGACGUUUUUUUGUUUCCGUCAUAAGGUUAAACUGGUGCUAUCUUAAUACCGGCGAUAAACAUUCGGCCCAGAACCUCGGGUUUGGCGUAAAAUUGGUGACGCAGUACAAAUUUCAUACGGUGACGCCGAAGCAAUUACCGUGUUGGGCAGGAAAAGAAAUAUUGGUAACAUGAUUCGAAAAAGUGGAGUUGUGGCUAAUAUCCGUCUAAAUGCUAUUUCGCCGCAGGGGGAUUAAACGUUGCAAAAUUGGUGAUAAGGACCGAAAGGUUUGGGACCAACAAAAAGAUAUUGCGAUCUUCGCGUUUCCACCUUUUUUCGACGUAACGGGGAUUGUUGCAAAAAAAUAAUGGGGCCAAAAUAUUAGGUGUUGUGCCUAGACCGUUUACGAAAGAGGAAAGGACAAAAUGUGGGACGUACAUUUUUUAUUUAAAAAUCGGCUGUUUGCUCCACAUUGGGUCGGCCACCGAUAUCACUAUUCGAUUCUGCAACCGCGGAUGUGGUUUAUUUGAAAAUUAAUAGGUUCGCCCAUUGGUUAGGAAUUGUGUAAAAUGCAUUUUGCAUCCCUGUAAAAAUGCCGCGUGGGUUAUUUUCGCAUAUUACCAACAUUAACCAAAAAUAAUAAGGUUGUUAUUAUAAAAAUUUCCAAAAACCAAGUUUGGACCUUUUUUCGCGGAAUUUAAUUAGGCGUGGACGAAUAGGUACAGGAACACCCUUUGACAGAUUCAGCCUAUCGAAUAUACCUAAGGUAAUAUAUUAUACGCGUAGGACGGAAAAACUCCCUUCCCUUCCUUUCCCUCCCCUGUAUUUACCUGUAUUUACUAUAACGGUCAAAAUUAUCGCCUAUUUCUCCUCUUAUUCCCAACUCCUGCCUUAUUAAUAUUGCCAAUACCUAAAUAUUUCCUGGGACCCAACCCAAAAACCAUUUAAUAGGGUGAGUUGUAUAUAUAAUAAUUUGUAAUAUUAUGGUUUUUCUGUUUUUGGUUUACAUUGUUUUGUCGUGCUGGUACUGCAUAGGCAAUUUAAACAAUAUCGUUUGGCAAUUAAAUUCCCGUUUAUUAUAUUAAAAUGAUGGAAUUUAUUGGAUAUUUUGUUAAAAGCGUCGAAUGUGGGUCUGGGACAUGGCCUAAUCGUUUGCAGGUUUGUUAUUAAUAUAUUUCAAAAGUACAACAGUUAAAUAUUUUAACACCAAGAAGUUUGCUAAAUUUUAACUGUGGUAUUUUUGGGUAUUUCCGGAAAGGAAAAAGAAUCUUAUCUCGAAAAUUAUCCGGAGGUGGGGUUUGUAAUGGGAAGCAAAUAUUCCACAAUAGGUAUAAACCUCGACCCCAGCACAACUUGCGGCCAGGUGAACCAAACGGCUAAUUAUUAGGUUAAGUUGGAAACCCUGAAACGAAUGGUUAGCCUUUCGAUAAAAUAAACAAGGUGUUAUAUUAAUAUAACAGACCUGUAUACGGAAUUACCAUCCGAUUUUCCGUGAAAUUUAAACGUUUGCGAAUUUAUAACAGCAUAUUUCAUACCCCGCGGGCUUCUUCAGCAUUUAUAUAUUUAAAAUAAUAGAUAACUUUACGUAAAUUAGGAAGCGAAAUGGUUGGCGACAACCCUCCGUAUACCUGAUUUGUAUUUAACCACAAAUUUUCGGGGAUGGGUACCCAAUUCUUAUGCGCAGUAACCCAAACCAAUGCAAUGAAAUCCUGUAAGCUAAAUACGGCUACCAUGCAUUAGCACAGUAAUUAGGCAUACCCUCACGGAAAACCAGAUGGUAGCUCCGUACGAAGGACAAAGGAGCCUAUCACAAAUUUGGCGGGGGCCUUGUGCAGGUAACCCCGCUAUUCGGCAUCCUGAACGGCAUAUAACGUAAAUAUGCUUAUAUUCCCAAUGCAUAAAGGCCUUAUGAAACCGUUCGCACAACCUGAUAAUAAUUAAGCUGUUAUAUAUGAACGCCACUGCACAAGCAAUUGAGAUUUAAAAAAAGUAGCGAAAUUCAGCAUAUUCCCCAUAAUAUAUAGUUUAUUGAGAGGAGUGCAGCAAAUUACAAAUCCGUUACAAUUAGGCCUUGAUUUAUAUUAUGAAUUAUACAGCCUGACAGACGAAAUGUAUACCAAAACUAAUUGGAAAGGGAAAAUUUUGGGAUGAAGGGGAGUGAUAUUCUGACUGGCUGGCUAGUAGCACACUAAUAUAAUAAACUGUGUGUGGGUGCUUUUGAGAAUGUAUAAUUAUCUAUUGUGGGAAAGACAGAAGCAUGUGAGGGCAGUUAUAACGCCCCUCUCCAUGCCCUUACCACACUAUUGCCUGUUCGCGAGCGUCGAUUUGCGCCCUUUCCCGCAUGAAAAAUAUAUGUCUAGUAAAGUCCCCAGGCCUAGCCAAACUGACAGCGUAAACCAUAAUAUAGUUAAUUAGAAUUUCCCUUUAUCCGCCGUGUUUUUUUCUCUGAUGACGAAUUACGUAGUCCUUUCGCGCAAAUUUCGCGCCACAUGUAGGACAUUCUCCCCCAAUAUUAGAAUAUUUGUUUUUAGCCGCCCAUAUCCUGUAAAUGUUCCAAACGUGACGUUCCUUUUUUUUCCCAUCUUCCGUCCUUUCCCAUGGGCAAUCCCCUUUAGGACAUUUUCGAUAUUGGCGCAUAUGCGUCCUAUAUAACAGGCACAGGAAGGUUACAAUAGUUAUUAUAAGUGAGAAAGUUAAAGGAACUAGCUUGAAUUGAAUUUAUUCCAGCUCAUUUAAAAUUGCGGCGUUGUAUCGGCAAUCCUUCCAGUUGCAACGAAGGCGAGUUUUUUGCUUUGCUGGCUGUUUUCCAGAGGCAUUUCUAGUAGGAGCAAAACAUUAGAAAGGUUUGUAACGAGGUAGGAAAAGACAGUUGUCUAGCUUUACCAGGCUGUCAGCGAUACCUUUUAGUAGAUUUAGAUUCGUUAUUCUCCGGUACCGUUUGCACCGAUUGUUUAUUAGAGGCCAUGGGAUCCUGAUAAAAUCGUUGCAAUUUACCAGCGGCUUAAACCUUUUGGGAUGGUGUGGAGGAAUUCUUUCGGUCAAAUACUGCUGGGUUAACCCCCCAAAUACUGUCGGUAAAUAACGGCGCUGGAAUCGGCUUUUCAAAGGAUUCGAUGUUGGGCAAAAGCUGAUUUUUUCCUUUCCAAGCAUGGCUUUUAAACAGCCCUUUUUUCUGGUCUUUAUUUUCCCAGAGCGGAGGGUUUUCGGCUCCUAUGCAGAAUUCUGUCCCAAGUUUAAAAACCAUGGUAUAAAAAGUGGUUCAACAUAUCGAAGCAAUGUGGGGUGGGGGGAGCUCCGCAGCUAUAACCCGUCGCCUAGGUGUUGAAACAGUAGAGCAUAUAUUAGCUUGAAAUUAAAACUUAGAUGAGAUUUGCCGGUUUCUCAAUAUGGUGGAAGUUUUCCCUAAUUAUAGUUGGGGAGCAAUUAACCGUUAAACUUUUGGGGCCAGGUAUAUGACGUAUGCAAAUGCCUAAGGGGUAUAUAAAGGUUAUAUGUAUUAUAUAUGUAUCUCUGUUUGUCCAAUAGGAUUAUUGGAUUAAUUAUUGCUAUUUUCAAAGCACGCCUUGCUUCUGGUAUAUUAGUUAAUUGUAUGUGCCAACAUUAAUUGUGGAGUGCAGGUAGAUUGGACAGCCAAGGCCUCCACCGUCGUUUAAUUAAAGGUGUCCGGCCUCCUGCAUGUCGACGGACAACGCUUGUUCUGCUAUUUCGAACCUUUUCAGUUUUAUUUCCCCCAAUUUGCAUUUAUUAGAAUCCUGAGAUCGUUUCGAGGCUGUUAGAAAAGGUUUCGUGCAGUUAAACCUGUUAUUGAAAGCAUAAGAUUUAUAAAUAACAAAGCAGCGAAACCUUCAAAAAACCCACCGAAAGUAUAAAUUAUGUUAGGAGCGCAUUGGCUUAUUGGCGCUGCCCACAAACGUUUUGUUAUUAUUAUAUGCCUGCUAUGUUUAAUCGAUUAUAUACGAGGCCAGCCAACAAUAUAUAAUUUGGAUUUGCAUCCGCAUAAUAGCAAUUGGAAAUUUGAAAAACUUCGGAAAGAAUUUUUAGAUUUAUUUGCCCUAAUAUGCUUUAUUUUAAAAAUAGGUGGAAAUAUAGCCUCAGCAGUUUGUUUGGAACAAAGCCAUCCGAGUGGGAACGUUUUGCGUUUCGCGCGGAAUUUUGGCGUCCCUCCCGACCUUAUCGACCAAUUUCAGCUAAUUUUCCAUAAUCUGACCGCUGUGGUUUUAAAAGGUAAAUAAUUACAAGUAUCUUGUGGUUUAUAAACCGCUAACAUUAAUAUACUUGUAGAAAAGUUAGUGAAGGACGGAAAAUUUAAAAUCUUGUUUAAAAUUAUCAAAUUAACUGGUAAUAAGAUUUGGUCCCUUUUGGAGCAGUUUCGUAAUCCAAAAAUCCACGUUACUGUCCGACGAAAAAUCUCUGUUUUAAAAACAGACGAAACGUACCUGGAUAACGGCGAAAAAACAAAUUUUUAGCAGUGGAUUGCCAUUUUUCCCUUUAUAAUAUUACUAAGCUUUAAUAUAAUGCCUAUUUAGCUCGUUCCGCAUAUAAUAUGGGCGGCCCAAGCGCGAUGGAAAUAUUCAAAGCGGAUAAAAUUAUUGUUUUGUUCCGACGAAAAAGAAAUGCCCCUGUGGAUUAAAUAUAUAUAUAAAUUGGCGCGAUAUUAUUUAGCAACGAAAGCUAUAAUUAAAUUCGCCACCAAACAGCCUAAUAUUUUUACAUUUAUUCACGUUAAGGUUGUGGAAAUUCCAGGAUAGCAGCGUUUCUUUUUGGCGAAUAACAUUACGGCCCUUAGAACAACGUUUCAAAGGCUAAUUAAGACAGACCCUGGAUUAUUCGUCGAAAAACUUGGCCAGAUUUGGUUCACAGAUGACCCGGAAGCUCGAUUUCGCAAAGCGUACCGUUUUAAUUUUACAAUCCAUGCAGAAAUGCAGCUUUUCACAUUUUACGACCAUAAUCCAAACUUUACACCACGCCUUUUGUUUAUAGGCACGAGCAAGAAGGUUUGCUUCCUCUGUUACAAUUUCCUAUCCCGGCACCCAUUGGCGAUUGGGGUGUCAGCCAAUUAUCAAAAGUUUUAUCCGAUUUAAAUGCCAGUUCCAUGUUUAUUUUCGGUGCGGAAGAAAUAUAAAACCCUGCUUUGGGACCUUAACCGACAUUUGGAAAAAACGGUUCUCCGUGACCUGGAGACCAGAUUUGGCGUUCGGCGACCAGUUUACAUAGAUUUUACCGCAGGGCCCUUUUUAACGAUUAUUGGAACGUUUUUAUUAUUUUUAUUAGCCAUGGAACUGUUUAUUCGAUUUGAAUUGGUGGAAGAUUAAGGACCUUCCUCAAAUACCGGAAUAAUUACCGAAUAGUUUAAAAAUGCAAAAAGUAAUUAAAGGUUAGGUAAGGCGGUGCUGGAGCUGUUACGGAUAUUCUAAUAAUUUUGGCGCUGGUUUGUAGGUUAUUAAAGACCUUUCAGGUCUUUAAAUAACUUUGUGUAAAAACAUUGCUUCACAUUAUUUUAUUUCCGAUGGUGGGAAAGUAUUCCAAUGCUCACCAGUAAUGCGAUCGACAUAUUUUUUGGGAUAUCGCAAAGAAAAUUCAAUUGAGAUAUAAAGGAUAUCUUCUAAGCUAUAUUUCAUAUUUGCUCCUGCUUAAUUUUAUAAUUUAUGCCGUUUGAUUAUUUUUUGGGCCAAAAAAAAUUAUUAAAAUUCGUCACGUCGCCUCAGGUGGUUGGAAAAUGGUUAAUAAUAACGGCAGUAAUGGGGAGCGGAAUGUUUAAAUUGAGGAAAUUUUUCGCGAUACCUAUUCCAUCCUUUUGUACAAUUGGCGCUCCAAUUAAUUUGUGAACAUAUUGUCAUUUAUUUGCAUUUUCCAUUAAUAAUUACUUUUUUUAACAAUUUACCCGCAGAUAUAUUGGUAAUAAACCAGGUUAACCCGUGGGAUAUAACCCUGUUAAAUAGUCCACAAAUAAUAUUAGUAAGAUUUAUAUAAGGUUGCCUAAUACCGCAUAUAAUUACCAUAAUAUUAAUUAUUCGUUUAACCAAACAGGCCUGAAUUUUUUCAACUAUGCAGGAGGCCCUCCAUAUCCGCGGUUUGGAGCAAAAACGCAAUCCGAUUUAAGGGCCUGGGGCGAUAAAUUGCGGGGUUCGGCGUUUAAUUGCGACAAUGGGGGUUUACGGGCGGAUCGUCUCACAUUUUCUCCACCAUCCAGGAGGUCUUUUGUUGGUAUCCGGUAGGGAAAAGCAUAUAAAAAUACGUGUUAGGGUAUAUAAAUAAUCCUGGUCUGCAUUUUAGCAGUUUAUUACACCGGUUUAAUAGUUUAAAAACGGCGUUAUUUGUUAAUUUCGCAGGGUUCCGCUACUCGCUACAAACUGCAUUUAUUUUAUAAAUAUUCCUUAUUAAUUAAUAAAUUAAUUAUAGACGCAGUAUAUUUUAUCGUUAUAUAGGAUAAUUAAAUAACCGUUUGCAUAUAAUAUAACACCGCGUUUAACAAAUCGGACGGACCGUCCGGAUUCAAAAGUUCUAAAUUUGGGGUUAAACCUUGUAUAAUAUAAUACGUGGUAAUAAAAUUAAUUAUCCUCCGUUUUAUUAAUACCGGCGGUCCUAUUCGGCGUUGGGCAAAACGGAGUUUUGGGUGGUUGAAAAAACCGCAUUAUUAAUCGCCCACAAUUUAAUCUACUGCACUCUUUUUCGGCCAUAUAAUUAUUAAUUUACAAAUGCACAGGCUACUAUGCCCGCCGACGUUAUUACCACCAUUACCACCUUUUGGAAAAUGUGCGCAUGGCUUUUUAAGGGUGGCCUGGUCGACUGUAUAAUCUUUUGUCGUUCGAUAAUUAACCUUUAAUUUAAUUAAUUAAUUUCGCCACGUAUUACCAUAUAAUACCGAACCCCGCAUUUUGCCGCCCCAAAGAUAAUAUACCACGGUAAUGGAGGGCCCCCUGCAUCGUAAUGGACGCCUUAACGGAUUAUCAAAUUAUAAUGGCAAUUCUGCGAAAAUGCAAGGUUUUUUGGCAGGUAAUAACCACCGUUAAAACAUUCCCAAUACAGGAACCCUCCAUCAGCGAGGCGGGGAACAAACGCGCAACCCGGUUGGCUGGCCUUGCAGAAUCAAAUGGAAUAAUAAUUUCGACUGGGGAAUAAUAAACGGAUUAAACAGGCAGCCAAAACCCUAUUUUGGCACCGCAAAUUAUUUGUUUGGCACGACGGGUAAUUUAGGUCGUAUUAACCCUCGUUCCGAAAGAUUAUUGGUUUGUUAAUUUAAAUUGGCAACGUGGGUAUUACAGGAACACGUUAAAUAUUAUUAAGUUUUUCGUUAUUAUUACAAAAUUCCCAUUGUGCAGAUUUGAAGUUCGUACAGGGUUUUUAAAAUAAAAAUGCAAUGUUAUUUUAUUGCUGUAUUGGCAGCCCAAUCUAACUGGCGAUAAAAUAUAUAAAUAAUUAACCCUAACCCCGAACCAAUACAAACUGUCGGCAGGGUAGUAAAUCCUAUUACGACCAUGCGGGUCAAGGUCUUCGAACCCAAAUAAAGGGAUAAUUCGACUUGCAUUUUAGAAAAAGUAGUUAUUUAAACUGUUAAAAUAAAAAAGACGUUAAAAUCUUCAGGCGAAAAUAUAAGUGUAUUGGGCACUGGGUAUUCCCUGCUUUAAUUAAAAGUUAGGUAUAAUAAGAAAAUUAUAUAUAAAAAAUAAAUAAAACAGCUACCCCUUAGGGGUGGUUUAUAAAAUAUAAUAUAAUUAUACCCAGAAAUUUUUUGUCCAUUAUUUAUUACCGCCUGUUAUAUAUACGAAAUAUACCAACUAAAUACACUAAUUUUACCAAUAUAUUCCGACUAUAUUUUUAUUUGUUAAAAUCUCUUUUUCGAGCCUGGAUAUAAUAAAUCUACCCGUUAAUAUUCGCAUAAUUAAAUUUAAUUAUCUCGCUUUAUACAACUGGAUCGAGCGUCCGACGCCGACCAUUGUCGUUCCGGGCAAUCCCGCCGAAUAAUUACCGCCUACCGGUCCUACCCGAUUGAAAAAGGACAUAGGCUACUUUUAUACGGCGCAAAACCUGGCCCGCCGUCCCGAAAACCCGUUUGAGCCUUUGUUUCGCGCCAUACUCUUUACCGAUCCCUCGGUUGACCUUCGCUCAAUUAAUAUCGUAAUUGAUCGAAACAAUAUUCGAAAAUUGCUGUCGUUUGUCGAACCCAGGAACGGGAAAAACGGGGUUAAAGAUUUCGUAAUUAAUAUUAAAAUUGUUGGCAAAACGGCUCUUUUUUCCCGCGAAGAGAAGAAGGCCAGGCGAUAUAUCGCACCGAACAAAUUCCGGGGCCACGGCCACGAAUUUGAGAAGGUAUAUACCACGAACAAAAUACAGGGUAAUACUGGAUAUUACAGGAUUGUUUUAUAUUUGUUUGGCGAUUUUAAAUUUUUCGUCAAAUACGAGGUGGAUGGUUAUAUUUCCCCUAUUGGAAAGGCAAAUACAAAUAAUAUCCUUAUUUAUAAGUUAUCCUCCUUGCAAUUUUUAAAAAUACCGCCGGAGCCAUUAUUAAUAUCGUAUAAAUAGCCAGGGUCGAAAUUAAAAAUGGUAAUAAAAGGAAAAACAAUUUUAUUAAAACAAUAUUUAGAAAUUAAAACCCGAAUCGCCCACAAACCCCUAUAUAUUCAAAAUAUUAUACCAUAAUUUUGGGCAUCGCAAAUAACGAAAUUUGUGCGAAUUUACCACACCGGUGGCCUUUUUCAAUCCCCAAUCGUUAAGAAUAUAACUGACGAAAUAAAAAAAUGGGAGAAAAAUAACGAAAACACUUUGAAAAAACUAAUAACAAUAGUUUCCAAAAUCUUUAAUAUUGCCAAACGAUUUGGUGGUCCUGUUCAAAUCAGAUAUAACGCAGCAAAAGGCCAAUUGUAUUUAUAUAAUAAUAACUUUAUAAAUAUACUGCCGGACGAUAUUUACGUCAAAUGGAACUCGACGAUAGAAAUAAAAAGUUUGUCAACUUUUAAAAUUCCGGACAUAAUUUCUAAUAUUAAAAACACCCUGCCGGUUAUCGUGGGAGGGAAGCAAUAUUUCGUUAAUUUAAACAAAAUCCCCUUUUUCCAAACUUUAAUAGCAUCGCGAUCACCAGAAUUAAAAAAGGCAGUUUUAAUCCACAAAGAUAUUCCCUUUUUCGGGGCGAUUAAUUACAAUAUUUAACAUGGAUUACGGAACUUUUUCAAACGAACGCCAAAUCGCAUUUAGAAUUACCAUACCCUGUGCGAAACUUUUAAUAACCUUGGGAUUAACGUUUGCCAGGGAUUUAAUUUCCAAAAUAUUAUUAAAUUGCUAAAGGUGGAAUUGGACAAUUAUAACCCAAAGGAACGAAAAGUGAUCCGGAGGAAUAAAACGGCCGCCCGUAACGCUGCAUUCCGUUUUGUAUAUCUGUUAUUCAAAGGCGGAUCCACGUCGCAAUUUCCGUCCUCUUUAUUACCGGCAUUAUUAACACAGGACCGAGCCAUCGUUUACAAUGCGGUCAACUACGUCGUAUUGCAUCGCAGGAUCUUCGGCUACAAGAUACGCAGCAUGGUCCGAAAAACCUUUGAAGUUGCCUCCUCCUUAACGUACAAACAGCGUUUGGUAUUGGAUAAAUGGCCAAUUACAGAGCCCAGCCAUAAUGGAUGGGAGGAUGAUGAGAUAACCAAUGACGAAGGCGAGUGUUAUGCUAAUUUGUAUUGGGGUUUAAAAUCGUCGUAAUUGGGGUUUAACAGCGGCGGUAUCUCUUUUUAAUUGCUACAUUUAAGAAAUUUAAAAUUUCAAAAAAAAACACGAACCCCUCCCGGCGCUAAAACCGGCCGUUUAGGGUCGGUUGCCAAUAGGAACGGGUCCGAUUUAAAUUUAUCGGGACCUUAUUUCGGCCCCGCCCAAUUUAUAUUACCCUGGUAUUACGUGGCCAAUCCCCUGAAAUCCUAGCUCAGCCCAAUGCGAUAAUCCUAAUUAUUCCAAUUGUUAAUAGGAAUUAUAUAAUCGCUGCAAUCGGUAAAAAUAAUAAAACAAUUGUAAUAAUAUUCUUAUAAAUCGUAACUAUUUACAAUUCCGCAGAGAUUUGUUAAAAUUUCCGCUACGUUAUCUGAGAUCUCGUUGCUGUGCACGUAAUUUACAUAUUCGCAUAUUUACUUAUAAACAAAUACCACCAACUACCCUCCGCAUACUUUUUUAUUAAUUAACGAGCUGUUUAUUUCCGAAAUUUCUUUUCUUAAAUUUAAUACCAGGUAUUAUAUUGUAAACCAACUGGCUUCCGCCAUUAACGACGUUAAAAAUGGCGAACAAUUUCAAAAAUAUUUCGCGUGGUGGUAAUUAAUUAACCAGUAAAAGUAAUAAUACCUAUAACCAUUACAACCACCCGUACAGUUUUCGUUAUUAAUGCGCGAAACGAAUUUCCGCCCAUUAUAAUACCUGGCACUGUUUUGACGAACUACCAACAGCUGUGGAUAAAUUAUUUAUUGGAAGGCCAGGCCUCCAUAUAUGCAGCCAAAAGCAGGGCGUAAAAUUUGAUUUGCAGGAUUAGAAAAGGUAGCAAAAUGCGGGGUUAAUCGUCGUUUACUAAUAAUUAGGUUGUUAAUAGCAAAAAACCACAACGAAUAAACAUCCGAUUGCCUUAAAUUGGCCAUGUUUUCCUUUAUUUUUUUAAUUGCUUUGCGUUUAUAUUAGUUUAACCUUUAAUUGGUUUUUAUCUUUUCGGUUUUAGCAAAGAUAAAGAAAUCGUGCAUUGGACGGAUUAUUUCUUAAUUUAUAAUCUCAUAUAAGCGUCAUCCAUUUUAGGGUAGCUGGGACUUUCUGUUCGAAUAUGCAACGAAUCUGUUUUGGUUAUUAAUAAAAUGCUUUUCAAUCCUCUGCGCUGGAAAAGUACGCAUAAUGCAAUUAAAGAGCGAUAUCGCAGAGGUUAUAAGCUGAUAAGGUAUCGAUUAAUGCGUGGUAUUA